CAAAUGCCGGCCCUUUUUUCCAAAUUUGUGGAUCAGAAGUGGCCCUUACAUGGGACAUUCCAAUAGCCCACAAAUUGUUCUCGACAACAAACACGAUAGGCAACUUCCACAAUGCAGCCAUGUUCAAGCACUCGAAGAACUGGCCAUUGUUACAAGUACCAUCUCCAAAAAAGGCUAAGGUCACCUCAUCACAGUCCUCCUUCAAAACCUCCCUCUUGUACUUGCUAGUGAAGGCAGCACCUGUAGCCACGGGAAUGCCU
rnacentral:lncRNA from 1 species